rnacentral:rRNA from 1 species
AAACUAAAUUUGUUUUAAAAAUCGAAUUUUAAAAUUUAAUGUAUAAAGUAAAAUUUUAAAAAAUUUUUUUCUAAACAAUAGAGUAAAAGUACUGUAAAGGAAAAUUGAAAUAAUUGAAAAUAAAAUUGUAAAAUAGUACAGUAAAAUUGGUACCUUUUGUAUCAGGUUAAACCUAAUUUUAUAAAUAAUAUUUAUCUAGAAAGUACAAGAGCUAUAAAUUUUGUUAGUAUUUGUUUCAAAAAGUUUAAUUAAAAAUUUAUGGAGGUAAUAUGCUAUUCAAUUGUACAGUUAUCUAGUUAUUUCCUAAAUAACCAUAGGUUAGAUUAUUAUUUGGGUUGUAAAAUUACAUUUUAUACUUAAAAAUAACUCUAGAAAUUAGGGGAUCAGCUCUAAUUUAAUAAAUAACAUAUUUUUGAAAAAUCUUUUUAAUAAGCUUUAAAUUAGCUAUACUAAAUUUUUAUAAAUAAUAAAAAUUUGUUUGUGAUUUAUGUAUGUUUUUUUUGUUAGGAAUAUAAAUGGUAAAAUUAUAUUACUUUAGAAAUAAUGGUUUUAUAAGUAGAAAUUUUGUAUAAUAUUGUAAUAAAAUAAAGUUUAGAAGUUUAUGUAUAAUAUUUUUCUCAAAAAUUCGGCAAAACAGCUUUUCGAAUGUUUAACAAAAACAUUUCCUUUUUAUAAAAAGGUAAGACCUGCUCACUGAAAUUUUAAAGAGCCGCAGUAUUUUGACUGUGCUAAGGUAGCAUAAUAAUUAGUUUUUUAAUUGAAAACUGGAAUGAAUGGUCAAACGAAAAAGCAACUUUUUUAGGAAUAAAAAUUUAAAUUAUAAUUUGGGUGAAAAUACUCAAAUAAUAUAAAAAGACGAGAAGACCCUGUAAAAUUUUACUAUAAAAAUAAAUUUAAAUUUAAAAUAACAUAAUUUUAUUUUUUUAAUAGAUUAGUUGGGGCGACAUUAAAAUAUAUAUAACUUUUUUUUAUUAAAAACUUUUAAGAAAGAAUAAUAUGAUCCUUUAUAAAGAUUAAAUGAAAAAAUUACUUCAGGGAUAACAGCGUAAUCUAUCUUAAGAGUUCAAAUCGACAGAUAGGUUUGCGACCUCGAUGUUGGACUAAAAUUUAACUGUAGUGCAGAAGUUACAGCUUAUGGUCUGUUCGACCAAUAAUAUUUUACACGAUCUGAGUUCAGACCGGCGUGAGCCAGGUUAGUUUCUAUCUUUUAUUAUUGAAAUUUUUACUUAGUACGAAAGGAUUGGUAAAUUACAAAAUUUUGUUUGUAAAAGAGUAUCACUAAAAUAUAUAAAA